rnacentral:rRNA from 1 species
AACGAACGCUGGCGGCAUGCCUAACACAUGCAAGUCGAACGAGACCUUCGGGUCUAGUGGCGCACGGGUGCGUAACGCGUGGGAACCUGCCCGUAGGUUCGGAAUAACUCCCCGAAAGGGGUGCUAAUACAGGAUAAUGUCUUCGGACCAAAGAUUUAUCGCCUUUGGAUGGGCCCGCGUUGGAUUAGCUAGUUGGUAGGGUAAAAGCCUACCAAGGCGACGAUCCAUAGCUGGUCUGAGAGGAUGAUCAGCCACACUGGGACUGAGACACGGCCCAGACUCCUACGGGAGGCAGCAGUGGGGAAUAUUGGACAAUGGGCGAAAGCCUGAUCCAGCAAUGCCGCGUGAGUGAUGAAGGCCUUAGGGUUGUAAAGCUCUUUUACCCGGGAUGAUAAUGACAGUACCGGGAGAAUAAGCUCCGGCUAACUCCGUG